ACCAAUUCUGGGGGAUUAUUAGUUCCUCCUGGUAUAAUGGCUCGGGUGCUAUAUCGGACUCUGUGGCUUAUCCUGAUUAGUGGCUUUUUUCAUUGUCAUCUAAUCCUGGAAACACCACGUACACGU